AGCGAACGCUGGCGGCAGGCCUAACACAUGCAAGUCGAACGAACCUUUCGGGGUUAGUGGCGGACGGGUGAGUAACACGUGGGAACGUGCCUUUAGGUUCGGAAUAACUCAGGGAAACUUGUGCUAAUACCGAAUGUGCCCUUCGGGGGAAAGAUUAAUCGCCUUUAGAGCGGCCCGCGUCUGAUUAGCUAGUUGGUUGAGGUAAUGGCUCACCAAGGCGACGAUCAGUAGCUGGUCUGAGAGGAUGAUCAGCCACAUUGGGACUGAGACACGGCCCAAACUCCUACGGGAGGCAGCAGUGGGGAAUCUUGCGCAAUGGGCGAAAGACUGACGCAGCCAUGCCGUGUGAAUGAUGAAGGUCUUAGGAUUGUAAAAUUCUUUCACCGGGGACGAUAAUGACGGUACCCGGAGAAGAAGCCCCGGCUAACUUCGUG
rnacentral:rRNA from 1 species